UACGGAGGGGGCUAGCGUUGUUCGGAAUUACUGGGCGUAAAGCGCGCGUAGGCGGACCUGCAAGUCGGGGGUGAAAGCCCGAGGCUCAACCUCGGAACUGCCUUCGAUACUGUCGUGACUCGAGUCCGGUAGGGGAGUGUGGAAUUCCCGGUGUAGCGGUGAAAUGCGCAGAGAUCGGGAGGAACACCCGUAGCGAAGGCGGCACUCUGGGCCGGUACUGACGCUGAGGAGCGAAAGCGUGGGGAGCGAACAGG
rnacentral:rRNA from 1 species